rnacentral:tRNA from 1 species
ACCGAAAACAGCUCAGUUGAAAGAGCGUUAGACUAUCGAUCGAAAAGUCCCUGGUUCGAUCCCGGGUUUCGGCA